GUCCACGGCCAUGCCCCCCUGAACAAGCCCAAUCCCGUCUGUUCUCGGAAGCUAAGCAGGAUCGGGCCUGGUUAGUACUUGGGUAGGAAGCCACCUAUGAAGACCAGGUGCUGUAGGUG
rnacentral:rRNA from 1 species